rnacentral:rRNA from 1 species
GCGGAGGGAUCAUUACAAGUGACCCCGGUCUAACCACCGGGAUGUUCAUAACCCUUUGUUGUCCGACUCUGUUGCCUCCGGGGCGACCCUGCCUUCGGGCGGGGGCUCCGGGUGGACACUUCAAACUCUUGCGUAACUUUGCAGUCUGAGUAAACUUAAUUAAUAAAUUAAAACUUUUAACAACGGAUCUCUUGGUUCUGGCAUCGAUGAAGAACGCAGCGAAAUGCGAUAAGUAAUGUGAAUUGCAGAAUUCAGUGAAUCAUCGAAUCUUUGAACGCACAUUGCGCCCCCUGGUAUUCCGGGGGGCAUGCCUGUUCGAGCGUCAUUUCACCACUCAAGCCUCGCUUGGUAUUGGGCAACGCGGUCCGCCGCGUGCCUCAAAUCGACCGGCUGGGUCUUCUGUCCCCUAAGCGUUGUGGAAACUAUUCGCUAAAGGGUGUUCGGGAGGCUACGCCGUAAAACAACCCCAUUUCUAAGGUUGACCUCGGAUCAGGUAGGGAUACCCGCUGAACUUAAGCAUAUCA